rnacentral:rRNA from 1 species
GACAGAGGUGCCGAGCGUUAGGCGGAAUCACUGGGCGUAAAGCGUGCGCAGGCGGUUGUGCAAGACAGAUGUGAAAUCCCCGGGCUCAACCUGGGAAUUGCAUUUGUGACUGCACGGCUAGAGUGUGUCAGAGGGGGGUAGAAUUCCACGUGUAGCAGUGAAAUGCGUAGAGAUGUGGAGGAAUACCGAUGGCGAAGGCAGCCCCCUGGGAUAACACUGACGCUCAUGCACGAAAGCGUGGGGAGCAAACAGG